GACGAACGCUGGCGGCGCGCCUAACACAUGCAAGUCGAACGAGCGAGAGAGAGCUUGCUUUCUCGAGCGAGUGGCGAACGGGUGAGUAACGCGUGAGGAACCUGCCUCAAAGAGGGGGACAACAGUUGGAAACGACUGCUAAUACCGCAUAAGCCCACGGGUCGGCAUCGACCAGAGGGAAAAGGAGCAAUCCGCUUUGAGAUGGCCUCGCGUCCGAUUAGCUAGUUGGUGAGGUAACGGCCCACCAAGGCAACGAUCGGUAGCCGGACUGAGAGGUUGAACGGCCACAGUGGGACUGAGACACGGCCCAGACUCCUACGGGAGGCAGCAGUGGGGAAUAUUGCACAAUGGGGGAAACCCUGAUGCAGCGACGCCGCGUGGAGGAAGAAGGUCUUCGGAUUGUAAACUCCUGUUGUUGGGGAAGAUAAUGACGGUACCCAACAAGGAAGUGACGGCUAACUACGUG
rnacentral:rRNA from 1 species